rnacentral:rRNA from 1 species
AAACUCGCCUACAUGAAGCUGGAGUUACUAGUAAUCGCAGAUCAGAAUGCUGCGGUGAAUGCGUUCCCGGGUCUUGUACACACCGCCCGUCACACCACGGGAGUUGGAAAUGCCCGAAGCCAGUGACCCAACCGUAAGGAGGGAGCUGUCGAAGGUGGAGCCGAUGACUGGGGUGAAGUCGUAACAAGGUAUC